AGGUCCCGGUCACGAGCGCACCCUUAUCCUUUGUUGCCAGCACGUAAUGGUGGGAACUCAAAGGAGACUGCCGGUGAUAAACCGGAGGAAGGUGGGGAUGACGUCAAGUCAUCAUGGCCCUUACGAGUAGGGCUACACACGUGCUACAAUGGCAGAUACAAAGAGAAGCGACCUCGCGAGAGCAAGCGGAACUCAUAAAGUCUGUCGUAGUCCGGAUUGGAGUCUGCAACUCGACUCCAUGAAGUCGGAAUCGCUAGUAAUCGUAGAUCAGAAUGCUACGGUGAAUACGUUCCCGGGCCUUGUACACACCGCCCGUAA
rnacentral:rRNA from 1 species